GUGUUUCUCACAGGGAUUAAAGUGUACAUCGAUCCGUUCACAUACGAGGAUCCGAACGAGGCGGUGAGGGAGUUCGCUAAAGAGAUCGACGUGUCGUUUGUGAAGAUCGAGGAGGUGAUCGGUGCCGGUGAGUUCGGUGAGGUGUGUCGCGGCCGGCUCAAGGUCGGG